AGUGAACGCUGGCGGUAGGCCUAACACAUGCAAGUCGAACGGCAGCACAGUAAGAGCUUGCUCUUACGGGUGGCGAGUGGCGGACGGGUGAGGAAUACAUCGGAAUCUACUCUUUCGUGGGGGAUAACGUAGGGAAACUUACGCUAAUACCGCAUACGACCUACGGGUGUAAGCAGUGGUUCUUCGGACCUUGCGCGACUGAAUGAGCCGAUGUCGUAUUAGCUAGUUGGCGGGGUAAAGGCCCACCAAGGCAACGAUCCGUAGCUGGUCUGACAGGAUGUACCGCCACGCUAGAACUGCGACACGGUCCAGACUACUAGAGACGGCAGCAGUACGGAAUACUGGAGAAUGGGUGCAAGCGUGAUCCAGCCAUACCGCGUGAGUGAAGAAGGCCUUCGGGUUGUGAAGACAUUUUGUUGGGAAAGAAAAGCAGCAGGUUAAUACCCCGCUGUUCUGACGGUACCCAAAGAAUAAGCGCCGGCUAACUUCGUG
rnacentral:rRNA from 1 species